GCCAGUGUAGCUCAAUGGUUAGGACGUUGGACUUCUGAUCAGAAGGUCCUACGUUCAAAUCCCAGCACAAGUA